UCCGUAGGUGAACCUGCGGAAGGAUCAUUAGUGAAUUAAACAUGCUUGGUGUCUUCGCUUCGGCAAGGCCCUUGCUUAAAUCACAUCCUAACACCUGUGAACUGUAAGACGUAUGAUGAGGUCUUUGGCCAAGUCAUCGUCUGCCCAUUUUUAACAAACAAUUAAUGUAACAAACGUAGUCUUAUUAUAACCUAAUAAAACUUUCAACAACGGAUCUCUUGGCUCUCGCAUCGAUGAAGAACGCAGCGAAAUGCGAUAAGUAAUGUGAAUUGCAGAAUUCAGUGAAUCAUCGAAUCUUUGAACGCACCUUGCGCUCUUUGGUAUUCCGAAGAGCAUGCCUGUUUGAGUGUCAUGAAAAUAUCAACCUUGACUUGGGUUUUGUGCUCUAGUCUUGGCUUGGAAUUGGGUGCUUGCCGCUUUUACGAGCGGCUCACCUUAAAUGUAUUAGCUGGAUCUGUCUUUGAGACUUGGUUUGACUUGGCGUAAUAAGUAUUUCGCUAAGGACAUUCUUCGGAGUGGCCUCGUUUCUAGGGCGCUUGUCCGCUUCCCAAUACAAGUUCCACCUCGUGGACAUGACUUUUUUUAUUAUCUGGCCUCAAAUCAGGUAGGACUACCCGCUGAACUUAAGCAUAUCAAUAAGCGGAGGAAAAGAAACUAACAAGGAUUCCCCUAGUAACGGCGAGUGAAGCGGGAAAAGCUCAAAUUUGAAAUCUGGUAGCCUCAGGCUGCCCGAGUUGUAAUCUAUAGAAACGUUUUCCGCGUUGGCCCAUGUACAAGUCUCCUGGAGUGGAGCGUCAUAGAGGGUGAGAAUCCCGUCCUUGACAUGGACUACCAGUGCUUUGUGAUACGUUUUCAAAGAGUCGAGUUGUUUGGGAAUGCAGCUCAAAAUGGGUGGUAAAUUCCAUCUAAAGCUAAAUAUUGGCGAGAGACCGAUAGCGAACAAGUACCGUGAGGGAAAGAUGAAAAGCACUUUGGAAAGAGAGUUAAGCAGUAUGUGAAAUUGUUGAAAGGGAAACGCUUGAAGU
rnacentral:sRNA from 1 species